rnacentral:rRNA from 1 species
GAUGAACGCUGGCGGCGUGCUUAAUACAUGCAAGUCGAGCGAAGAGGGGACAGGGGAGUAACACGUGGAUAACCUCCUAUAAAACUGGGAAAACUUAGGGAAACCGGAGCUAAACCGGGUACUUAUAGAUGGAUCUGCGCGGCAUUAGCUAGUUGGGAAGGUAACGGCUUACAAAGGCAACGAUGCAUAGCCGACCGGAGAGGGUGACCGGCCACACUGGAACGGAGACACGGUCCAGACUCCUACGGGAGGCAGCAUGAGGGAAUGUUCCGCAAGGGGCGAAAGCCUGACGGAGCAAUGCCGCGUGAGUGAUGAAGGUCUUCGGAUCGUAAAGCUCUGUUAUUAGGGAAGCGGUACCUAAUCAGAAAGCCACGGCUAACUACGUGCCAGCAGCCGCGGUAAUAC